CUCCCUCGUCCGUGAUGCGUUUAGUGCGCAUUCCGUGGAGGAUUUCUGGAUCGGAUGCUCAGAAGAGUACAUGGGUAUCAAGAAACUUGCCCUUUAUGUGCUGACGAUGUUUCCAUCUACCUACACGUGUGAGUCAAGCUUUUCGUCAAUGAAUGCAAUCAAGACACACGAGAGGAACCGUCUGACCAAUGCAAGCUUGGAGAACUGCUUGAGGAUAAAAGUGACAUCCCUGUCGCCCGACAUCCACAAAAUUGUGACCGAAGGGAGGAGCCACUUUUCCCAUUAAGAGCAGCGCAGAUCCUUCUCCCACGCGGACAAUGUGCAUUCAUCUUUCACUUUCUUUAAGUUUUAUUUUAAUUGGGCCAUUUCACAUUUGAGCAGACCUUGUUAUGUUGUUAAUUUAACGAGACGUAGACUAUUUUUUACCUUGCCCACUGGAGGAGGGAGACAGGACACUUUUGGUUUUUUUUUGCACAAGAUUACGCGCACUCGCGUGCCAAUACCGUUCCGACCUGUGCGUCAUGGAUAACUGCACAGAUGUUCCACCUGUUGUUUUGUCACUUUAGGACUAUCAUCUAUACCUCAAUAAAUGUUUCGAAAUUGAUGGGAUUGCUGUAUGCCUUUUUUUUUUUUUUU